CCAGAUUCAACUUGACUUUCCAAGUCACAUAGUACUUUUUAACCUUAAAAAAUCCAGCCUUAAUGGGAAAGAUAAAAAUUAAAUAGAAGCUGAGAGAAAUCAUAUUGAUCUUUACCUUGUGCUAUCUCCUGUGGCUAGUGCUCUUUCUUUUAUGCCCUCUCCAGUGUGUGCUGCGGCAUUUAGAUUGUGUCAAGUUUAAUGAAUUUAAUACAAAAAAAUUUUACUGAACCAGAAAAUAGAUGCACUUAAAAUAGUUCAAUAUUUGCCAACUUAGCGGUUCAGCAUAUCACCCACACGCAUCGGUGACAACCCAUGACUUGCUGGCUCGAGAGAAAUUGAUCCCCAGCCUUCUGAACAAGCUACUUGUUGCUAAUUUAGAAAGCAAACUGGCGAGUUCCAUUUUGUCAUUUUGAAAGGAAAGAAAUCGUCACAGCCUCUCAGAUCAUUGCAGUCUCUCAAACUAAUAAAAGUUCCACAAAAGACCCCUUAGCUUGGUAGUAUUUAAAAUCUCACACUGACGUGCCCACUCUCGGGCAUUCACAUAUGCUUGCAUGGGCAGAACUUGUUUAUGUAACUACAAAGUGGAUUUUUUCUAUGGAAUGUUCUUAUACAUCUCCUACUUGCAAUCAAAUGAUGGAAAACUGAAAUGCCUACGUGUGGUUAAUGUCACUAAUUUUUGAUAAUAUAGAAAGGAAAAGG
rnacentral:lncRNA from 1 species